GUGAGGAGGCGGCGCUCGCCAAGGCUUGAACCUUCCUGGCGGCCGCCCUGCUUGCGGGCUCGGCCGGACGCUGAGGACGCCCUGGGGCGAAUAGUUUACCCCUCAGCUGUGCGGCUCACGGCGCUGAGGGCGGUGGGGGCCGCUUUUCGGCAGCAGAUCCGCCAGUUUUGUGUCAACUCCGCGUCCCCAGACUACGGAGUGAGUCGCUCGGUCGCUUAGACGCUGCUUCGCGGUUUCCCAGACGGUUUCUAACUCCUGACAAAGACACUGGGAGGACGAAUGUGUAGGCCUAGGCUAACUGUGCGCCCGUGUUAACUCUUGGCGGCUGUCGGCUUAGGUGAGGGUGUGUGCAGCCUCCGGGACACGCACACUUGCUCGCGUGCAAGCACCCUCCGCCACUCCCUGGCUCUCGUCCGGUUUCCUACGGCUGCCCUUUCUGCAGAUGCAAAUAAGCCUCACCUUCUUCAGGCGGCGGAUGAAUUACAGCCGUGAAAAAUGAGAAUCCCCAGAGCCCACGUUCCAGGCAGUAUGUUACAUGGUGAUGUUUUUGUGAAUAAAAUAAAAAUAACAGCCUAAAUAAGUCAGCCAUUUGAUAAAACCCCAGGAAUGUGUCAGGUUUCUCUAGCUAGACAGCUUUGUUUUUUCCUCAGUGCCUUUCAGUGCUUCAGACUUUAUUUCAAGAGUUUUAAAGACCAUAAAACUUGUAAAUCUCUUUAGAAGUUGUCAAAGAAAAACGACAACAUUCCCAAAGGGCCUUUAGCAGUUGCAUUGGAC
rnacentral:lncRNA from 1 species